GCAAGGGGAGCGGCGGACGGGUUAGUAACGCGUGGGAACGUACCCUUUUCUACGGAAUAGCCUCGGGAAACUGAGAUUAAUACCGUAUACGCCCUUUGGGGGAAAGAUUUAUCGGAGAAGGAUCGGCCCGCGUUAGAUUAGUUAGUUGGUGGGGUAAUGGCCUACCAAGACUACGAUCUAUAGCUGGUUUGAGAGGAUGAUCAGCAACACUGGGACUGAGACACGGCCCAGACUCC
rnacentral:rRNA from 1 species